CAUUAUUUUUUUUAUUUUGAAUCAACUGAUAUCGAAGAGUUAUCCUGUUGCAGCAGUGUACAAGUUGCAGGAAUUUUAUGUUGAUUUCCAGAUUCAAACAAUCAAAGUGAAAGACACAAGAGAAACAAUCUAGAGUUUGUAUAUUUGAUUUUGGAGACAAGGAAAUGAAGCACAGAAUAAACAAAUAAAGAGGUGAAAGCUUCCACCAUAUCCAGGCCUAGGGCUAGAAGACUGCAUGUUUCAUUGCAGUUUAAGUAUUUAUACGACUCAGGUUAUUGACUAGAAGGGGGAAUGCUAAAAAUCUUUAGAUAAUUUUAAUUUUAAUCUUUUCAUGUAACCUACACAUCAUCUAACCUAAGCAGCACUUUAAUCUUUUCAAAAGCAUGUAUGGAUAUAAACUUACAAUGAAGUAGAAUAAUUAAACCAUAUUAAGGGGGCUUUGUAUUGAUACACUUUACUUAUUGUUUUAUUUAAGAUGUGAUGUCUUCCUUCCAGGCAAGAAGAUCUCUAAACAGGGGAGAAAAAAUGCCUUAUUAAAUGAAUAUUAAAUUCAAUAAGAAUUGUAAUUGAGGGUGAUUUUUUUUCACUAUUUGUUUCAUAACAUUAUUUGUUAUUACCCAUGCAUUAUA